rnacentral:piRNA from 1 species
UCAAGAAGGUGAGAGGGUAUGUAUGG